rnacentral:misc_RNA from 1 species
UAAGGAGGGUGCAAGCGUUAAUCGGAAUUACUGGGCGUAAAGCGUGCGGAGGCGGCUUUUUAAGUCGGAUGUGAAAUCCCCGAGCAUAACUUGGGAAUUGCAUUCGAUACUGGGAAGCUAGAGUACGGGAGAGGAUGGUAGAAUUCCUGGUGUAGCGGUGAAAUGCGUAGAGAUCUGGAGGAAUACCGAUGGCGAAGGCAGCCAUCUGGCCUAAUACUGACGCUGAGGUACGAAAGCAUGGGGAGCAAACAGG